AGAGUUUGAUUCUGGCUCAGAGCGAACGCUGGCGGCGUGCUUAACACAUGCAAGUCGAGCGAGAAAGAGGGCUUCGGCCCUUGAGUACAGCGGCGAACGGGUGAGUAACACGUGGGUAAUCUGCCCUUGAGACGGGGAUAACUCGGGGAAACCCGGGCUAAUACCGGAUAAGACCACAGGAGGCAACUUCAGGGGUCAAGGGGCGCUUUCUUUGGAAAGCGCCCGUUCAAGGAGGAGCCCGCGUCCUAUCAGCUUGUUGGUGGGGUAAAAGCCUACCAAGGCGAAGACGGGUAGCUGGUCUGAGAGGAUGAUCAGCCACACAGGGACUGAGACACGGCCCUGACUCCUGCGGGAGGCAGCAGUGGGGAAUAUUGGACAAUGGGGGAAACCCUGAUCCAGCGACGCCGCGUGGGUGAUGAAGGCUUUCGGGUCGUAAAGCCCUGUCAGGAGGAAAGAAUGCUCCCAUGGUGAAUACCCAUGGGAAGUGACGUACCUCCAAAGAAGC
rnacentral:rRNA from 1 species